rnacentral:snRNA from 14 species
GUGCUUUCUUCGGCAGCACAUAUCAUAAAAUUGGAACGAUACAGAGAAGAUUAGCAUGCCCCUGCGCAAGAUGACACAAAUUCGUGAAGCGUUCCAUAUUUUU